rnacentral:rRNA from 1 species
GAGUUUGAUCAUGGCUCAGGACGAACGCUGGCGGCGUGCUUAAUACAUGCAAGUCGAACGCUCUCGACCUUCGGGUCACAUGAGAGAGUGGCGAACGGGUGCGUAACACGUGAGAAACCUGCCCCAAAGACGGGAAUAGCCCGAGGAAACUCGGAUUAAUACCCGAUACCUCCACAAUGUCGCAUGGCAUUGUGAAGAAAGUUCAGGCGCUUUGGGAGGGUCUCGCGGCCUAUCAGCUUGUUGGUGAGGUAACGGCUCACCAAGGCAUCGACGGGUAGCUGGUCUGAGAGGACGAUCAGCCACACUGGGACUGAGACACGGCCCAGACUCCUACGGGAGGCAGCAGUAGGGAAUCUUGCGCAAUGGGCGAAAGCCUGACGCAGCAACGCCGCGUGGGGGAUGAAUGCCUUCGGGUUGUAAACCCCUUUCAGCAGGGACGAAAAUGACGGUACCUGCAGAAGAAGCUCCGGCCAACUACGUGCCAGCAGCCGCGGUAAUACGUAGGGAGCGAGCGUUGUCCGGAAUUAUUGGGCGUAAAGAGCUCGUAGGCGGUUCAGUAAGUCGGGUGUGAAAACUCAAGGCUCAACCUUGAGACGCCACUCGAUACUGCUGUGACUUGAGUCCGGUAGAGGAGUGUGGAAUUCCUGGUGUAGCGGUGAAAUGCGCAGAUAUCAGGAGGAACACCAGCGGCGAAGGCGGCACUCUGGGCCGGUACUGACGCUGAGGAGCGAAAGCAUGGGGAGCAAACAGGAUUAGAUACCCUGGUAGUCCAUGCCGUAAACGUUGGGCACUAGGUAUGGGAUCAU